AGUAGCAAACAAUUUAUUUGGAUUCACACAGGGAAGGAGAGGUAGGGGUGUCAGGCAAGGAAAGUGGGGAGUAGGAAACCCUAAUACUUGUGUCCUCUGGAAGACUGCCUCCCCCAAGUUCUUGGGGUUCAAGACUAUUCCUCAGGCUUUUAAUUCAGGAGUCCAGGAACAGGUCAGGGAGAGAGAAAAUUUCAGGGAAAGAUCUGGAUGGCUCUGGCCAGAGUGAGUCCAAAUACAAAACCCCCUUGAGAAUUCAGGUAGCUAUUCUUUAAGAGUCUUAGUGGAGGCAUUUUUGAGUCCCAGAAGGAAUAACAGGUCCCAAAUGGAUAGGCUCUUUCUCAGCUUCCAGGAAAAACACCUUCCUACUUCCCUCCUAGGCUGAAAGACCAUUGACAGUUGGAGCUUCAGAGUUCUAAUUCCUUUAGAACUCCCCGGCUUCUCUCUCUGCCCUCCUCUGCUGCUCCUCAGCUGAUCUAUCUUUCAGCCUGGCUUGUCAUUGGAACCCCUUGGAUCUCUCUUUCUUACAUUUCAAUGGAAAUCACCAUCUGCUUCAGGAAGUGGAAUCGAAGGUUGAAGAGCUGACAAUAUCAUAUGUUUGGAGAUCCUUUAUUUGCAGCAGUACACAUAAAUGAGUUUACUCCCCAUGCCUUUCUAUCAAGCUUCAACAUUGGAGAGAAGGGGACUAGAACACUCACUUGUCCGUAUGCUGACUUGUCCAUUUCCGUCCUUUCAAUACUAAUUUCCAGAAACUGAUAAGUUCCCAGCUGCUGCCUCAACAAUAUGGCCUGAUAAGUGACUGCCAUAUGCUUCCUCAAAGCUGUUCAUGUUCAGCCUGGCUUGCCAGCCUCCUUGGAGACUACACCAGAAAAGAGAGUCAACCACAUUGAUCUACUUACUACUCCCCAGACACAUUUGGAGUUUUCCUGCCUCAGUGCAUUUGAUCAUGCUAUUCUUCUCACCUGGAACACCCUCUCUGUUAUCUGUACUUGCAAAAUUCUAGUCAUCCUUCAAAGUUUCAAGGACUUCUUUCAAAGUCAAUUCUUCCAUAAAACCUGCCUUUAUUUUUCCAGUAGGAAAUGAACCCUCGCCUUCGUACCUCAAUAAAACAUUAUAUCACUUUUGUGGCA
rnacentral:lncRNA from 1 species